CUCAUACUCCCGCCGUCCCAAAAUUCUUGUCUUAGAUUUGUCUAGAUAUGAAUGUAUCUAGUCACAUUUUAGUAUUUUGAUACAUCCAUUUUUAGAAAAAUCUAAGACAAGAAUUUUGGGACGGAGGGAGUAACAU
rnacentral:pre_miRNA from 1 species